GACGUAGGGCGCGAGCGUUGUCCGGAUUUAUUGGGCGUAAAGAGCUCGUAGGCUGUUCGAUAAGUCGGGUGUGAAACCUCCAGGCUCAACCUGGAGACGCCACCCGAUACUGUCAUGACUAGAGUCCGGUAGGGGAGCGUGGAAUUCCUGGUGUAGCGGUGAAAUGCGCAGAUAUCAGGAGGAACACCAGCGGCGAAAGCGACUUCCUGGACCAGUACCGACGUUCAGGCACGAAAGCGUGGGGAGCAAACAGG
rnacentral:rRNA from 1 species